CCAAUUAUUCAAUUUUUGUAAUCACACAAAAUGGUCUUCAUUAAUGAGCCCUAGGAGGAUGCUUUUUCACCCAUUCCCAAGAGGAAUAAAUUAGAAAAAUAACCUAUCCUUAGUGUUUAAAUGCUUGCUUUUAGAUAUUUACUUGGAAAUCAAGGUCUACAAAUUGUCCUGGUUGUACUUUAUUUCAAAACGAUAUAUCUGCAUAAUAAAAUAAAUAAAUAAAGAGCAAAAGGCAAGCUGGAAGAAAAUGGAUGACAAAGGGGAGGACAUGAAAAUGACAGAAAUUAUAGGGAAAAGGAUGACCAAUUCAGUUUUCAUCACACAAAACUUAAAUCAUUUUAUUUGGUGUACAAAAAAUGUAAUAACAUUUUUGACUUAGAUUACUAAAUUAUGAUUGCUUUAUUGCUUUCUUAUCUUUUUAAACU